AGAGUUUGAUCAUGGCUCAGGAUGAACGCUAGCGGCAGGCUUAACACAUGCAAGUCGAGGGGCAUCAGCCGAUGUAGCAAUACAUUGGUGUUGGCGACCGGCGUAAGGGUGCGUAACGCGUGAGCAACAUGCCCGCAACAGGCGGAUAGACCGUGGAAACGCGGCGUAAACCGCCAUAGGACCAGUAGCAGCAUUGCAACAGGUUGAAAUCUUCGGAGGUUGCGGAUUGGCUCGCGUAACAUUAGCUAGAUGGAGAGGUAACGGCUCACCAUGGCUACGAUGUUUAGGGGAACUGAGAGGUUGACCCCCCACACUGGAACUGAGACACGGUCCAGACUCCUACGGGAGGCAGCAGUGAGGAAUAUUGGACAAUGGAUGGAAAUCUGAUCCAGCCAUGCCGCGUGCAGGAAGAAGGUCCUAUGGAUUGUAAACUGCUUUAGUGCGGGAGCAAUAAGGUCCACGAGUGGACCGAUGAGAGUACCGCAAGAAUAAGCAUCGGCUAACUCCGUGCCAGCAGCCGCGGUAAUACGGGGGAUGCAAGCGUUAUCCGGAUUUAUUGGGUUUAAAGGGUGCGUAGGCGGUCUGUCAAGUCGGCGGUGAAAACAGCAUGCUAAACAUGGUGCUUGCCGUCGAGACUGGUGGGCUUGAAUGUGGAUGAUGCCGGCGGAAUGUGUAAAGUAGCGGUGAAAUGCAUAGAUAUUACACAGAAGGUCGAUUGCGAAAGCAGCUGGCAAAGGCACUAUUGACGCUGAGGCACGAAAGUGCGGGGAUCGAACAGGAUUAGAUACCCCGGUAGU
rnacentral:rRNA from 1 species